UGUGACGUGAAACUCGUCAGACCAUGAGAAGGGUCAGAUAAACGGAAAACACAGAGCACUGCGCAUGCGCAUUAGAACAUAAAUAAACAUAAUCAUAUGCGUGAGAACCGUCAGAUACAGAUAAAUCAAGAGUUGUGCUUUACGUGGGACAUUAAACACAAAGUAACAUCUGCAUGCCACCCACAAAGAAACGGCCUUGAUGAAAGGACCAAUCAAACAAUCAAAAGGGCCUUAAGCAAAUUGGUCAACGACAUAUAGAACGAUUGGGAUGAAACGCUUGAUGAGGUUCUUUUCUCAAUUCGGACCAAAAAACAGUCGUCAACAAAAUUCAGCCCAUUCUUCCUUCUGUACGGACGGGAAGCAAUGUACCCGAGUCAGUUGCAGACUGUGGCUCUUGAUGACAAAAAAGGUGUAUUGUCCGACCCAGACAUGAUUGAAAAACAAUCUAGUGUGCGAAAGCAACAAACAGAAACUGCAGGAAAAGUUGUACUGGACAAUAUGUCUAAAGCCAAAGAGACUAAUUUUAAGCCAACAACAAAAAAAGAAAAUUUGAUCAAAUACAUGUUGGGGCUAGAGUGUUAAAGUUCAAUGCUUCGAGGGCGGCGAGAAAAGCCAAAGGAAAUCUUGAAAGUAAUUACACUGGACCAUAUGUUGUAGACAAUAUAAAAGGGAAUAUUGCAACACUUAAAACAAUGAGUGGACAGGUUUUGAAGUCUGGAGUGUCCCUCAACAACUUAAAAAUAUUUGUGGAAUCAGCAGUGGAAUCAGCAGAAAGCUUCAAACAGGAGUCAGCAGAGUAAAUACAAUACAAUGUAUUUGCAGUUUUACAGAAAAGCCAAGUGUUUGUCCAGUCAGCUCCUUCAUUAAUGAGGCUUUAAAACUAAAUCAAGGUCAAACACACUUAAUACUAAAAAGUAAAGAUGGGCACUAAAAUUUUGUGUGUACAUGGUUUACCUGCAUAAAUAAUUUGGAAUUGCAUAUUUUUUUAAAUUAUAGAACAACAAAGUAAAUGUUGAAAAUGGUUCAUGAUAGUUCUAUGUAUACAUAUUGUUAAAUCACUCAUUUUAGGGCAAUUAUAUUUUUUUUGUUUAAAAAGGCAAUCUUACUGAACAUUUGCAGAUUUUAGGUGAUAUUGAUACUGAUUUUAAGGUGAUGCCAUGUUUUAUAGUUAACUUGAAUGUACAGAUAUUUUUCAAUUCAUUGCUUUGUAACUGAAUUUAUGUAUUUUUUACCACCUUCCUGUAACUUUUAAUUUAGUGUUUUGUUGGAAAUUGAGAUUUUCAUGUUAAAAAGUAUGCAUUAUUCAAGAUAGAUUAAAUCAAAGACAAAUGUUGAUAAGUGCACAUUGAUAAUAUUUCAUUCACUAUGUGUGUAGUUUCCUAUCCUUCACACAAAUCAGGAAUCAUGUAAGAAACAAAAAUUUGUUUGCAGCUGGUUGUAACUGCAUGUGUAAUUUCUAUUCAAAAUGAUGGUUUUAAUAACAUGUGAUUCAAUUAGAAAUGCAUUUCUCAUUUUGACCAGUUAAUAAUGGAUAAUCAGAGGAUAUAAAAAAGUCAUCAAUUUACAUAAUGAAGUAUUAAUAACACCAUGUUAUUCGGGUACAGACAACUGUAACAUUUAUUAAUUUAUAUGAAUCAUAAUUACUAUAUGUGCUCAUGCAUACAUGUUGAUUAUUGUUGAUGUCUUAAUAAACCAAUAGUAUAUUAUCAA